rnacentral:lncRNA from 1 species
AAAUACAAGAAAGCUUAGAGGUGAAAUGGUUGAGUUAUGAGAGGCUUAACCUAAUCAGUGCAUUAAUCCACUUGCAUGGAUUAACUGGGUGGUAAUCCAGGUGUGGUUGGAGAGAUAGUUCACUGGGGGCAUGCCUUUGGGGUUUAUAUUUUAUUCCUAGUGAGGUUCUCUCUCUGCUUCCUGGUGCCAUGUCCUGAGCUGCUUUUCUCUGCCACACCCUUCUGCCAAGAUGUCCUGCCUCACCUUGGGCCCAGAGCUCUGGAGUCUGAUAUCUAUGGACUGAGGACUCUGAUACCAUAAGCCAAAAUAAACUUUACCUCCUGUAAUGUAGGAAAAAAGGUACAUUCAUACAUUGCUGCUGGGACUGCAAAUUGGUGCAACCACUAGGGAAAGCAGUAUGGAGAUUCCUUAGAAAACUUGGAAUGGAACCACCAUUUGACCCAGUUAUCCCACUCUUCGGCAUAUACCCAAAGGACUGAAAAUCAGCAUAUUAUAGUGACAUGGCUACAUCAAUGUUUAUAGCAGCUCAAUUCACAAUAUCUAAGCUUUGGAACCAACCUAAGUGCCCUUCAACAGAUGAAUGGAUAAAAAAAAAAUGUGGUACAUAUACACAAUGGAAUAUUACUCAGCCAUAAAGAAGCAUUUUUCUUAUGGCAUUUGCCAGUAAAUGGAUGGAACUGGAGACUACCAUGUUAAAUAAACUAAGUCAAUCCCAG